UUUUAUAUCCAUCAAACUCCUCCCUUAACUAUCCAGAGCGAAUCAAUUGGCAAGACCCAUUAACAGUAUUUGUACAAACUACAUUUCCCAGCAUCAUUGCGGAAAUUGCUUAAAACCUCCCACUGGAAGUGACAUCACUCGCUCUCAGCUCCUUCCCAGCCUAGCGCCGUCCCACACCAAGACACAAGAUGUGAUCUCAGGUUCUGAUGACGUUCCGAUCACGUUCUGCAGCAUAUCACCUUGCUCAUCACUCCCGUAUUCUUUGGCUGCUUAACAGAGUAAGUCCAAAAGGCAAACACUGGAACUGGUUGCCUGAAAGUGCCGUGCUUGAACUGCCUCAAGAAACGCUCAGCUCUAAAACGUGUACAUAGAAAGUCUAUUAACAUCUUUAACACAAUCAU